rnacentral:rRNA from 1 species
GACGGAGGGGGCUAGCGUUGUUCGGAAUUACUGGGCGUAAAGGGCAUGUAGGUGGUAUAAUAAGUUAGGAGUGAAAGCCCUGGGCUCAACCUAGGAAUUGCUUUUAAGACUGUUAAACUAGAGUACUGUAGAGGGUGAUGGAAUUCCUAGUGUAGAAGUGAAAUUCUUAGAUAUUAGGAGGAACGCCGGAGGCGAAGGCGAUCACCUGGACAGAGACUGACGCUGAGGUGCGAAAGCGUGGGGAGCAAACAGG